GGAAUAUUGGUCAAUGGGCGCAAGCCUGAACCAGCCAUGCCGCGUGCAGGAAGGCGGUCCUAUGGAUCGUAAACUGCUUUUAUUUGGGAAUAAACCUCUUUACGUGUAGAGCGCUGAAGGUACUAAAUGAAUAAGCACCGGCUAACUGCGUUCCAGCAGCCGCGGUAAUACGGAGGGUGCAAGCGUUAUCCGGAAUCAUUGGGUUUAAAGGGUCCGCAGGCGGACUUAUAAGUCAGUGGUGAAAUCCUACAGCUUAACUGUAGAACUGCCAUUGAUACUGUAAGUCUUGAAUUCGGUCGAAGUGGGCGGAAUGUGACAUGUAGCGGUGAAAUGCUUAGAUAUGUCACAGAACACCGAUAGCGAAGGCAGCUCACUAGGCCGAUAUUGACGCUCAGGGACGAAAGCGUGGGGAGCAUA
rnacentral:rRNA from 1 species